rnacentral:rRNA from 1 species
AGUGAACGCUGGCGGCGUGCUUAACACAUGCAAGUCGAACGAGAACGGGAUAUAGCUUGCUAUAUUUGUCAGCUAAGUGGCGCACGGGUGAGUGAUGUAUAGAUAACCUGCCCUCUAGAAAGGAAUAACAGUUGGAAGCGACUGCUAAUGCCCUAUAUGCCUUUAAUACAUAAGUAUGCAAGGGAAACGCUUUAGUGCUUAAGGAUGGGUCUGUAUGGUAUCAGCUUGUUGGUGAGGUAAUGGCUCACCAAGGCUAUGACGCCUAACUGGUUUGAGAGGAUGAUCAGUCACACUGGAACUGAGACACGGUCCAGACUCCUACGGGAGGCAGCAGUGGGGAAUAUUGCACAAUGGACGAAAGUCUGAUGCAGCAACGCCGCGUGGAGGAUGACACAUUUCGGUGCGUAAACUCCUUUUAUAUAGGAAGAUAAUGACGGUACUAUAUGAAUAAGCACCGGCUAACUCCGUGCCAGCCGCCGCAGUAAGAC